UGGGGAGCACCAGGAGACUCUGAAACUGCUCUGUGAAGAGGAUUAAAACCUCCAUCUGUCUGGUGUGUGACAGAUCCCAGGCACACAGAGCUCACACGGUGGUUCCUAUACAGGAAGCUACCCAGGAGUACAAGGAGAAAAUCCAGGCCCAAUUGAAGACUCUGAGGGAAGAGAGAGAAAAGCUCCUGGGAUUUAAAGAGACUGGAGAGGGGAAAAGCCGGGAGUAUUUGAUAGAAAAGAAGAGGCAGUAAAUGGUGGCUGAUUUUCAGCAUCUGCAGCAGUUCCUGGAGGAACAAGAGCGGCUCCUGCUGGCCCAGCUGGAAAAGCUGGAGAAGGAGAUAACGAAGAUACAGAAUGAAAAUGUCACCAAACUCUCCAAGGAGAUUUCCCAUCUCAAUGAGCUGAUCAGUGAGCUGGAGGGGAAGUGUCAGAAGCCACUGGGUGAAUUCCUGUAGGUGAGACGGAGUUAGAAAUACCCAGUAUCCCAAGUCCAACACAGCGACAGGACAGCUCCUAAAAUAUGGGCACAGGAGUCCUGCAGUCAGAGACCCCAGUGUAACUCUGUGUGUGCGUUCCAGAAAUGUAAAUGACAAUUGCUCAUUGCAGAGUCACAGACAUAUAGGUAUUGAGAGACAAAAGCCCCAUUAGCUCAGUGACUAUAGCAAUGUGGUCAGGGCAGGGCCUCUCUUCCUCAUAUUUGCAAAAUC